rnacentral:rRNA from 1 species
CAAUAGCGUAUAUUAAAGUGGUUGCGGUAAAAAAGCUCGUAGUUGGAUUUCUACCGAAGAUAGCCGGUCGGGUCUUCGACCUUGUAUCUGGUUUUGUCUUUGGUAUCCUCAUAGGGAACGUUUCUGCGCUUUAUUGCGUGGUGCGGUAUCUAUGACUUUUACUUUGAGGAAAUUAGAGUGUUCACGGCAGGCAAACGCCUUGAAUAUAUUAGCAUGGAAUAAUAACAUAGGAUCUUCGUCCUAUUUUGUUGGUUUCUAGGGCUAAGAUAAUGAUUAAUAGGGAUAAUUGGGGGCAUCUGUAUCAACGCGUCAGAGGUGGAAUUCUUGGAUUGCGUUGCGACAAACUACUGCGAAAGCAUUUGCCAAGGAUGUUUUCAUUGA